GAUAGUUGCAAAUAUAAAAAUAUAUUUUUUGAGUGCAGAAUAGAUUUGUUUGCUCAGAUUAAGUUUUUCUUUGCUCAAAAUUGUUUUCUGUGCUCAAAAUUUCACACUGUGCGCUCAGGAUUGUGGCACAAAUAUAACUCCAUAGACGUGGCAAGGAACGAAGCAGACAGAGGAGAGGUGCAGAACGGAGUGAGGAAUUCCAGGGCAAAAAGGGGAGACGAAGCCAGCAGAGUAAUCCACGAUGCAUAGAGUCCGGGGAGUGACGGGUAUAAGGCAGCGUACAGAGAGAUAGGUGGACGGAGCAGGUGAGAAGAGUCCAGAACUUAUGGGGUCCAAGUGGUGGUGAGAACCAGACGGAGAACUGUCUGCAAUGUCCCAGCAGUGUGUUGAGCGGAGAGCCAGGCUUAUAUGCUGCGCUGAUUGCCAAUUCAUGCCGGCUGUGCUGAAAACACAGCCGCUUGUCAUUCCGCUGAUGAGCCAAGUCACAGAAGUGGGAGGCGUGACAGAUCCUGCUUAUGUGCAAUAUACUUUCUGCAGGAAACAUGCUACUGAAGGUGAAACUUGGCGAUGUCCAAAAGUUUGUUAGAAUAACAGAGCCAAAUCUGUCAGACUUUUUGAAUGCAGGUAAGAAUUUGAUAUUGUUAAUGUGAGGUUUGCGCAAGGAGCUUUAACUGUGCUAUUAACUGGAUUUAGCUAGAUAAAAUUGAUUUACUGGAGAUUAGGGCUCUCGCUUUAUGUCAAAUCUUCAACUAAAAGUUCAGAUCGUAACUCUGACAGGUUUGAAUUCAAAAUGUACCAUCUAUGAGCCCAACAGAUAAUGUUUGAUCUAGCAGAUGGCUGUGUAAAUCUUUACUAUGUGACCUAUGACCUGCCCUAUUGACCUGCUAGUAAAGUAAGCUACUAAAAUGAUGUUUGUUACAAAAAUGGAGGACACUAGUGAGUAUAGGCAGCCAGAGCACACAAUUAUGACACCAAAAUAUCUGAGAAGCAGUUUAAUAUUCGCAUCCUGCCAUCACAAACGACUAUUCAGAUAUUCGGGUCCAGCCCUUAAAGAUAUCUACUUUUUGGUUUCCGCUUUUGUUCCUGUUUCCUAGCAUUUGCCAAAUUUGGUGUCCCAGCUGUAAUGGAAGGUGUUAGAGUCGUUGACAGUUCAGGGACUGAGUUGGAUGAUGAUGUCUUUGAGGACAUCAUAAAAGAUCCCUCCACUGGGGUGCUAACCAUGACAAAAAGGUUUGUUCCAGUUAAAUUUGUAAUCUCUAUUAACCUAUUUACUCAAAUAGUGACACGAGGUGAAUCUUUAUUUCUAAUAAAGCUAAGUUAGUUUAAUCUCAAGUGAAGCUAAUGUUACACGGCAGUGGGGAUGGGUUUCUUUGUUUGUUUAGAUAUUCAUUUUUGCAUGUGUUGCAUGUUUUUGUAGUUUGAAUUGUGGGUGUUUUCAGUUGUAUUGCAUGUCUUGAUUAUUUGUGUUUUGAGUUUUUCUAUGAUUGAGUGUCCCACUGCCCAUGAACGCCUCUGACGAGGCAAUCGAUUGCACCUGCCAGGUUCUCCCUUCCUCCCUACAGGAGCUAAUGGGUGGCAAGGAUAGAGGCUUCAAGGCUGGUGGAGAGAACUAUAUAGGAGCCUGCGGAGGACAACAACGAGAGGGCGCCCUGAUGGAGACCCGGAACGAGUGAGUUAAUGUGAGUUUGGAAGGAAAACUGGAAGGGGUGGACAAGUGGACGGAGCACGAGUUUGAAGACGGAGGCAGUGGGUGACGCCGAGACGAAGCCGAGAGGAAACCAGAACGUUACGACGCGGCAUACUCGUAGCGGCAGGGCGGUUAGCUCUGCCUCGGGUGUGAGUAUCCCUUUGGGGCUGUCCAGUAACGUUCUGGUGUGGCUAUAUCCCCUGGAGUGGGUUGGUGUUAAGAGGCUUCCAUACUGGCAGUGGAUCUGUGUCAUGCAGGUGGUUUCCCCCAGACACGAGCCAGGCUGAGGAAGAAGAGGGCUGAACCCCGGGACUGCUGAACCGUGUGCUCCGUAUCCUACCACCCCUGGAACGACCUUAAAGGGUGGAUUUUAACCAGGAUUUUAGCUUUUAGCAGUUUUUAACGAGACCCUGAGGUCACGAUGGACUUUCCCCUGCUGGCUGCAGGCCCGAGGAGUGUAACGUAGGAGUUUAACCUGUACUGUAUGAGAAGAAAUUCAUCUUGUAAUUAAAUGAUUGUUUGCCACCGGCAUCUGGUUUUCUCGCCCUCUGUAUAUUACUGUUGCUGACAAGGUGCUCCACCCGAUCGUUAAGAACCUAGUGCAAAACCUUAACAAUAUUAAUAAUCUGGUCAUUUUUCCCUUCCAAAUCCAAAAGCAACCCACUCAGCGGGUGACACUUAUAUUCUUCAUUAGAUACAGUAUGGGUGUGAGGGAACUAUGUGUAACAUGUCGUCUUUCUCCUGUUGCCAAUUGUGGUUAGAAUUUGUCUCCAUGGUAGCCUCAACUGAGUCCCAGGUUUCAUCUGUUGCUUCAUCGGACUCUGAUACAAUUAUCCUUCCAGACAGCCCUUCCAUAAAACGUCAGAGGCUGGAUUCGGAAGCUAAGCAACUGGUGGAAUCCAUUCUUGCCAAGAAAUCUGGUGGAGAAUAUAUACUAAAUGAAUACAACCGAACUAAGUCCUUGGCAGAUGAGAGCAGAAGGAAAAUGGUGAACAUACUGGUAGCUGAUAUGACGGAGAAGAAUGGCAUCAGCAGAAGGACCAUCUGGUGAGGACAUGUCGGGAGGACCAACUGUCAGACGAGUUUCCCAAUUCGUUCCAGAGACUGUCCUCAGUGAAGAUGAGUGCAAGGAAGCGAUCUCACCGAUGAAACAUUCAGCUGAUGACGACAUGGUCAGGAAGAAGAUGAAGCUGACCUUUGUCCAUCGACGUAACAUGGUCCUUGACCCACAGCAGUCAAAUGACAUACUAUCUGAUUUUCCACGUUUCAAAGACAUCAAAGGCUUGGUUGAACAGGAUUUUGUUCUGAUGUUUGGUGAGGAUGUAUCAGACAAGUUUCUGGAGAAGUGGCCAACCACAUUCAAGAAAAAGAUCAUUCAACAAUGCAGAAAGCUUCCUUCCAUCAGUGAGCUUGAGGACCUCCUGCUGGCAGCUGAUCCUCCUAAGGAUAGGGCUGAAGUGGAUGUUGACUUUGUUACAGGUUGGGACAGGGACCUCAUCGAUUUUACUGCUCUUACACUUGAUUCCACCUACUGCUCUGGGUCGAAAGAGGCCAGGAAAAGUGUCUGUGUCCUGGGCUGAGAAGCAUCUUGUGGUCUUCAAGAAGACUGGAACAAGCAUUCAAGAGCAUCUUGAUGCCAUUACUACGAGCACUCAACCUUAUCUUUUGGCUGUUGGAGCGAGGAAGAACUCAAUCCACCACUUCUUCGUCAUUCUCGACAAGAAUGCCAUACCCUGCAGGUCACCCUCUUGGUGCUUAUGAUGAACUGUUUAAGGCGCACUUUGUGUUUGGGACAUCAUACAAUACCAUGCUCCACAACAUGUACAUGUUCAUCCAGACCACUGUGUACAACAUUGAUGUUAGCAAAGUCAAAGAGAGCCCUCGUGUUGCAGAAGUAAGGGCAAGGUUGCUUCUGUAGUGUUUGACAUUGGUCUUCCAUCAUGAAGUGUUUUGUCAGGCUGAGUUAACUAGUUCAAACAUGUCUGUCCGACAUUUACGACUAGUUCAUGGUUACCUGCCUGGAAAAAAUCUAAGCCUUAAAUGCGUUCAAACUGGAUGCGGCCGUGUGUUUGGUACUUUUUCUGGUUUUAGGAAGCAUUUGAACACCAAACACAUUGAGUGUGCUGAACAACAGAUUGACACCAAUGUUGACUUAAACAGGGUAGACGAGGCAGCGACAAUUAAUGUCAGCCACAACAUCUGAGUCAAGAAACUCUAAUAGUUGUCUGGAUAUGUGUGCCAAUGCUGUUGCACAACUUAAGGCAGCUGGAUUAAAUCAGUCUACUCUAAAUAGUUUUGUCUCAUCUAUGGAGGAAGUGUUGUUUGAGAUUCAUAGUCAGGCAAAAGAUGCAGCUAUGCAGUGUUUUUCUCCACAGGACACAGACAGUAAGGACAAAUUAGACAUUUUCUGUUUAGAUGCUCUUGUUCUGGAGGGAGGAACAGCCACACAGUUUGAAUUUGCACAGGUGGUGCAGAAGUGGCUGCGCUAUGCACCGGAUAGGGCAGGGGGGACUGGACACUCUAAAUUCCCUGUGCAACCGACUUCUUGAGACUUCUGUUCUUCUCUUUUGUUCUUCUUGUUCUUCUCUUUUGUUGAUGUAGAAAUAAUUCUGGAAUUCCUGAAUAAUUGGUGGAGGGAAGGUGGGACAUCACACACAUCACACAAAGACAACGCUUGCACGCACGCACACACACACACACACACACACACACACACUCCUGAAGUUGUUACUUUUUCUUUCGUUUGUUUGUUUUGUUAAAAAAUUCAAUUAGCAUAAAUUGUAAUAAAAGUUCCUUUGUAUUUUAAAGUCAUCUGCUGUAAUCAUUUGACUAUACAGUAAAAUGUUUUCAUCACCUUUUCCACAUCCUGGCUGUAGAUAAAGCAGCGCUUUUACUGUUUAAAUUUAAUUGAAACCACAUUGAUUUAUAGUUGAGUAGAAAUGUCAAGGUUGUUUCAAUGUUCCUGAUGGUUGAAAAACCAUUGAAAUACCAUUGGUCUGUGGUCAGAAUUUCAAUGUUGUUUCAAUAUUAAAAAAUGGUGCAACAUG